rnacentral:lncRNA from 1 species
AGUACCUUUUGAUGCCCCAGCCCCCAUAAUGGGUUUGAGCCUCACAUCUGCUAAACAAGUGCUGUACCCCUGUGCUGACUGGCGUUCUGUCAACUUGACAGAAGGUAAGAGUCAUCAGAGAGGAAGCCUCAAUAAAUGUGCCUCCAUGAGAUCCCACUGCGGGCAAAACCGUGUUGCAUUUUUAAAUUAGCGAUUGAUGGAGGAGGGCCCAGCCCAUUGUGGGUGAUGACACGUCUGGUCUGGUAGUCCUAUAAGAAAGCUGGUAAUUCUAUAAGAAAGUAGGUUGAGGAGACAAUGACGAGAAAGCCAGUAAGCAGCACCCCUCCGUGGCCUUUUCAUCAGCUCCUGCCUCCAGGUCCCCAAGUUGCUUGAGUUCCUGUCCUCUUUUGAUGGUGAACUGUUAUAAGGAGCUCUGAAUGAAAUGAACCCUUUCCUCCAUGUGUUGCUUGUGGUUAUGUUUUAUCACAGAAAUAGUAACCAUGACUAAGACAAGUGCUAAACUACAGCUGCAGUUCAGAGAUUCUCAUGAAAAGUCCCAGGGUCCGUCCCUGUUGCCUGUGCAAAUGCGCUCAUCUCUUUAUUUCCACGCAGAAUCUGCCGCUCAGGAGAAGCCAACUCUGCCACCCUCUAGGGCAGCUGCCGGAGCAGACUAUUUUUAGUUCAAGCUAAAUUCACUCCAUUUGCCAGCCACAUUCAAUAUUGCAAUGUGGUCAAAUUCAAACUAGUCCUAGGGUCUCCAAGUGCUCACCACCUCCCUCUGAACUAUAUCAUGCGACUUACCCAAACUGAACUAG